rnacentral:lncRNA from 1 species
UCAGUUAGUCAUUUUGGUGUUAUCAAAUGUUAUCAGAUGUUAUCAGAUUUUUUUCAGACAUGUUUUGAUUUGUAUUCCAGUAUUCAGUUUUAUAGUAUAUUAUCAGCUUACCUUCUGCACAUAUGAUGUAUUACUAUUUUAUCUAGUGCUCACAGUAGGUACCAGCUCAUAGGUUAGCUUAUGGUCACUUAUGGCUAUAAGCAUUGUUGUCGCGACUAGGGGGUAGCCUUGGGUCAUGACAAUUAGCAUAAUCAUCUUUUCAC